AACGAACGCUGGCGGCAGGCUUAACACAUGCAAGUCGAACGCCCCGCAAGGGGAGCGGCAGACGGGUGAGUAACGCGUGGGAAUCUACCCAGUUCUACGGAACAACUGAGGGAAACUUCAGCUAAUACCGUAUACGCCCUACGGGGGAAAGAUUUAUCGGAAUUGGAUGAGCCCGCGUUGGAUUAGCUAGUUGGUGAGGUAACGGCUCACCAAGGCGAAGAUCCAUAGCUGGUCUGAGAGGAUGACCAGCCAAACUGGGACUGAGACACGGCCCAGACUCCUACGGGAGGCAGCAGUGGGGAAUAUUGGACAAUGGGCGCAAGCCUGAUCCAGCCAUGCCGCGUGAGUGAUGAAGGCCUUAGGGUUGUAAAGCUCUUUCAGUGGGGAAGAUAAUGACGGUACCCACAGAAGAAGCCCCGGCUAACAUCGUGCCAGCAGCCGCCGUAAGAC
rnacentral:rRNA from 1 species